CACCCCCACUAACUGUAAUAGAAACGAAGACCUAGAAUUAUCUCCAAAUCGAUAUUUCCGCCAACACCUGAAACAUCGCCCCGUAUUCAUUUCACAAAGGGUAUGUAAGUUUCUCCAUUGCUAUCGAUGAAGGCAGAUACGAAUAUACAACCAUAGAAGAAAUUUGAACUAAAGAGAAACUUAUGUUGAUUAAUAUCCGAUGUAGAACUCAGAGAAUGAAGAAACGAAACAUUGGGGGUUGAAGACGGAAAAAUGUUCGAAAUGACGUUGUCUUUGAAGAUGUUAGUGAAAACUAAAGUGGUAGUAAGGAAUAUCUCGAAAUACUUUAAGACUUAAGACAUAACUAGGUUUACUAGAGUGGACCAUUCUUGCUAUCAUCAAAAGGGAUAAUAUGGUAACCGAAUUUGCACCAAAUUCAGCAGACGAAGUUUAGGGAUACAAAUUUGAUUACAGAUUUGAUAUCGAUUCAUCAAUUGGGUGGGAAAAAAUAGAUAGAAUUGUUGGAGAGAAUGCCACAUGACAGAAGCCUGGUUUAAAAAAUGGACAUGUGGCAUGUAGAAGAUGUUUUUAUUAAGAAUGAAGAUUUUUCCGGUUUUGAUCACACCUAAAAUCAAAUUUCAACGAUGGAAGAAGAAUUUGUGAUUUAGUACUAAAUUGGGCCAAAUCUAAGUCAUAGCCAUUUGAAAGGCUAUAUGUAGAUUUCCAUCACCAAAAUGAAUAAAAAAAGAGAUAACGAAUCUCCAUGAUGCAAAACCUUGCAAAAACAAAACUUAUGUGGGGGUUGUCGUAGUGUCGUUGACCAGCACUAAGCUCGUAGUCGAAUGAGGACAACCCUGCACCCAACUCCCACACUUCAUACCAAACCCAAAUCGGCUCAUAACCUCAUCCAAAAAAUCUCAUCUAACCGAGUCGCAGGCUUUAGCAAAAUCUACCUUCAAAAUAAUCACUUUCUUCGUUUUGACCUUACACCUAGACACCACCUCAUUUAGGAUGAAUGACCCAUUUAAAAUCUGUCUAUCCUUCACAAUAGUCGAUUGUUCUGUACUUACUAAAGUCACCCAUCACCAUACUCAACCAAUUUGCUAAAAUUUUAUAUUUGGAAGAGUCAUCUUCUAUGUGGCUAUUGAUUAAGAAGAGAAUACAGAGUUUGAAACAACAAACAAACUAAAACAUACAAAC